GAUGAACGCUGGCGGCGUGCUUAACACAUGCAAGUCGAACGGAAAGGCCCAAGCUUGCUUGGGUCCUCGAGUGGCGAACGGGUGAGUAACACGUGGGUGAUCUGCCCUGCACUUCGGGAUAAGCCUGGGAAACUGGGUCUAAUACCGGAUAGGACGAUGGUUUGGAUGCCAUUGUGGAAAGUUUUUUCGGUGUGGGAUGAGCUCGGGGCCUAUCAGCUUGUUGGUGGGGUAAUGGCCUACCAAGGCGUCGACGGGUAGCCGGCCUGAGAGGGUGUACGGCCACAUGGGGACUGGGAAACGGCACAGACUCCUACGGGAGGCAGCAGUGGGGAGUAUGGCACAAUGCGCGAAAGCCUGAUGCAGCAACGCCGCGUGGGGGAUGACGGCCUUCGGGUUGUAAACUCCUUUCGCUAGGGACGAAGCGUUUUUGUGACGGUACCUGGAGAAGAAGCACCGGCUAACUACGUG
rnacentral:rRNA from 1 species